GGGUUGUAAACUGCUUUUGUACCGGAAUAAACCUUUUCAGGUGUGAGAAGGUGAAUGUACGGAAAGAAUAAGGAUCGGCUAACUCCGUGCCAGCAGGCGCGGUAAUACGGAGGAUCCAAGCGUUAUCCGGAUUUAUUGGGUUUAAAGGGUGGGUAGGCGGGUUAUUAAGUCAGGGGUGAAAGGCGGUAGGUUAACUAUCGGAGUGCCUUUGAUACUGAUGAGCUUGAAUGCAGGUGAGGUAGGGGGAAUGUGAAAAGGAGGGGGGAAAUGAAUAGAUAUGUCACAGAACACCGAUUGCGAAGGCAGCUUACUAAAGUGCGAUUGACGCUGAGGCACGAAAGCGUGGGGAUCAAACAGGAUUAGAUACCCUGGUAGUCCACGCCCUAAACGAUGAAUACUCGAUGUUGGCGAUAUACGGUCAGCGUCUAAGCGAAAGCGUUAAGUAUUCCACCUGGGGAGUACGCCCGCAAGGGUGAAACUCAAAGGAAUUGACGGGGGCCCGCACAAGCGGAGGAGCAUGUGGUUUAAUUCGAUGAUACGCGAGGAACCUUACCCGGGCUUGAAAGUUAGUGAAUGAUACAGAGACGUAUCAGUCCUUCGGGACACGAAACUAGGUGCUGCAUGGCUGUCGUCAGCUCGUGCCGUGAGGUGUUGGGUUAAGUCCCGCAACGAGCGCAACCCCUGUGUUUAGUUGCCAGCACGUAAUGGUGGGGACUCUAAACAGACUGCCUAUGCAAAUAUAGAGGAAGGAGGGGACGACGUCAAGUCAUCAUGGCCCUUACGUCCGGGGCUACACACGUGCUACAAUGGACAGUACAGAGGGCCGCUACCUGGCAACAGGAUGCCAAUCUCAAAAAGCUGUUCACAGUUCGGAUCGGGGUCUGCAACUCGACCCCGUGAAGUUGGAUUCGCUAGUAAUCGCGUAUCAGCAAUGACGCGGUGAAUACGUUCCCGGGCCUUGUACA
rnacentral:rRNA from 1 species